rnacentral:tRNA from 4 species
UAAAAACUAGUUAAAAAAUAACAUUAACUUGUCAAGUUAAAAUUACUAAAGUGUUUUUAU